UACAGAGGUCUCAAGCGUUGUUCGGAUUCAUUGGGCGUAAAGGGUGCGUAGGUGGCGCUGUAAGUCAGGUGUGAAAUUUCGGAGCUUAACUCCGAAACUGCAUUUGAUACUGCGGUGCUUGAGGACUGGAGAGGAGACUGGAAUUUACGGUGUAGCAGUGAAAUGCGUAGAGAUCGUAAGGAAGACCAGUGGCGAAGGCGGCUACCUGGACAAUUGCUGACGCUCAGGCACGAAAGCGUGGGGAGCAAAAGGG
rnacentral:rRNA from 1 species